GUCGGACAUGACUGAAGUGACUUAGCAGCAGCAGCAGGGAGGCCAAGAACCCUGGCAGCUCAAGAAAUCUGCGCCUGGGCUUCCUUGACGGUCCAGUGGUUGAGAAUCCACCUGGCAGUGCAAGGGACACAGGAGGAAGAUGCGAUCCCUGAUCUAGAAGGGCCCGCAUGCCGAGGGGCAACUAAAUCCGUGUACCACAACUACUGGGCCCGUGCUCUGAAGCCUGUGAGCCACAGCUACUGAAGCCCGAGCGCCCAGAGCCUGCGCUCCUGAUCAAGAGAAGCCAUUGCGUCGAGAAGCUAGCACACCACAGCUACAGUGUAGCCCCGUUCUCGGCAACGAGAGAGAGGCCAAGCGCAGCAAUGAAGACCCAGCACACCCAAAAGUAAGUAAAUAUAUUUUUUUAAAAAAAGAUUCUCUCUCUACUGGGUAGAAUAGCUCUUUGAUAUCUAAACUAGUGAGGUUUUACGUUUCACACAUCUGUGUUUACUCUUGACCCAGAGCUGAAAUUGUAGAAUUUAAGCCAUAAACGCUCCAUAUGCCUGUGUGUCUAUGUGUCUGUUAUUUCUAAAGACCUUUAUUUCACAUUAUGUGAGAGUGAGAUAUUUUACAUCUGGAUGGUACUAAUAUAUUAAAUUAUAAAGCUUAUUAAAGGAGCUCUGUUCUGAACUGUUUGUAAAGAUAAAGAGGUACAUAAAUUUUCACUUCCCCAAAUUAUCUGAAAACAAAGAAAUAGACAUAUGUGGGAUUUUUUUUUUUUGGCUGCAUUGAAAGGCUUGCAGGAUCUUUGUUCCCCCAACUGGGACCUGGGACUCUUUGCUGCAAUGCUGCAAAACUUGCACUUGGACACAUGCCUCCUAGAGUAACAGAA